rnacentral:rRNA from 1 species
AAACCGUUCAGGGGUAAACCUGAGAAACCCGAAAGAUCGAAUGGGGAGAUUCAUCGUCGGCGAAGCUGGCCUCACGGCGGUUCGCGAUGUCAGCGCGCGAUCUCGGUCGCGCGCGCGGCACGCGUCCGCCAUGUUUGCGUCCGGCGGCGCCGGCGUGCACUUCUCCCCUAGUAGGACGUCGCGACCCGUUGGGUGUCGGUCUACGGCCCGUGCGGUAAGUCUGCGCGUGAGGUUCCGCGUCUCGCGACGCGGUCCUCGCCCAGACCCUCGGAGUCCCGACCGGCUGCCCGGCGGUAUAAUUAGAAACACGGUAUCGGGCCGCAAAGCACCUCGGUGCAAUGCGUCGGACCCGCCGCAAGCGAGCGUCAGUGUUAACCCGGUGGUUGCGGACCAAGCGCCGUCCCCGGGCCUGACCAGCUGUUGGCAGGCGGUGCUCUCCGACAGGCUCAUUCCAUGAUACCGGUCGGCGAUGCUAAUGCUUUGGGUACUUUCAGGA